AUGUUUUUCUAUGAUUUAAGACAUUACUUCUGGGAUGACCCACACCUUUAUAAAGAAGGAGUAGAUUGUGUUAUUAGACGUUGUGUACCUGAGCAUGAACAGGAACAGAUCCUACGCAAGUGUCACUCCGAGGCAUAUGGAGGACACCACGCUGGAGAAAGAACUGUGCAUAAGGUAUUGGAAUUUGGUUUUUAUUGGCCUACUCUCUUCAAGGAUGCAUGUAAUUUUGUCUUGUCUUGUGAUGAAUGUCAAAGAAUUGGUAAUAUUAGUAGAAGUCAAGAAAUGCCUAUGAAUUAUUCUGUUGUUAUUGAACCAUUUGAUGUUUGGGGCUUUGAUUAUAUGGGACCGUUUCCUUCCUCUAAUGGGUAUACACAUAUUUUAGUUGUUGUUGAUUACGUUACUAAGUGGGUAGAAGCUAUUCCAACUAGUAGUGAUGAUCAUAACACAUCUAUUAAGAUGCUUAAAGAAGUUAUUUUUCCAAGGUUUGGAGUCCCUAGAUACCUAAUGACUGAUGGUGGUUCACAUUUUAUUCAUGGUGCUUUUCAUAAAAUGCUUGCUAAGUAUGAUGUUAACCAUAGAAUUGCAUCUCCAUAUCACCCACAGUCUAGUGGCCAAGUAGAACUUAGCAAUAGAGAGCUUAGAUUGAUUUUGCAAAAGACUGUUAAUAUAUCUAGAAAGAAUUGGUCCAAGAAACUUGAUGAUGCAUUAUGGGCUUAUAGAACUGCAUAUAAAAAUCCUAUGGGUAUGUCUCCAUAUAAAAUGGUCUAUGAAAAAGCAUGUCACUUACCUCUUGAACUAGAACAUAAUGCAUAUUGGGCCAUUAAAGAGCUCAAUUAUGAUUUCAAACUUGCCGGUAAGAAGAGGUUAUUUGACAUUAGCUCACUUGAAUGGAGAACCCAAGCCUACGAGAAUGCCAAACUCUUUAAAGAAAAGGUUAAAAGAUGGCACGACAAAAGGAUACAAAAGCGUGAGUUUAAUGUACGUGAUUAUGUGUUGCUAUACAACUCUCGUUUAAGAUUUUUUGCAGGAAAACUUCUCUCUAAAUGGGAAGGCCCUUACGUUAUCAAGGAGGUCUAUCGUUCCGGUGUCAUAAAAAUCAACAACUUCGAAGGCACAAGUCCGAAGGUGGUGAACGGUCAAAGGAUCAAACAUUAUAUCUCAGGUAAUCCUAUAAAUGUUGAAACUAAUGUUAUUGAAACCGUAACCCCGGAGGAAUACAUAAGUGACACUUUCCAGAAUGUUUCAGACUCCGAAAAGGAAUAG
rnacentral:rRNA from 1 species